AUUGAACGCUGGCGGCAGGCCUAACACAUGCAAGUCGAACGGUAGCACAGAGAGCUUGCUCUCGGGUGACGAGUGGCGGACGGGUGAGUAAUGUCUGGGAAACUGCCCGAUGGAGGGGGAUAACUACUGGAAACGGUAGCUAAUACCGCAUAACGUCGCAAGACCAAAGUGGGGGACCUUCGGGCCUCACACCAUCGGAUGUGCCCAGAUGGGAUUAGCUAGUAGGUGGGGUAAUGGCUCACCUAGGCGACGAUCCCUAGCAGGUCUGAGAGGAUGACCAGCCACACUGUGACGGAGACACGGUCCAGACGCGUACGGGAGGCAGCAGUGGGGAAUAUUGCACAAUGGGCGCAAGCCUGAUGCAGCCAUGCCGCGUGUAUGAAGAAGGCCUUCGGGUUGUAAAGUACUUUCAGCGGGGAGGAAGGCGGUGGAGUUAAUAACUUCACCGAUUGACGUUACCCGCAGAAGAAGCACCGGCUAACUCCGUGCCAGCAGCCGCCGUAA
rnacentral:rRNA from 1 species